ensembl:lncRNA
ACCUCACCCAUUGUUGCUAAGUCGUUUUAACAGGAGGAGAGAUCACUACGAUUCCCCAUUUUCCAGUCAGUAGAGAUAUAUGAAACAUCUUCUUGGCUUGGGCAAAAUCCAAGGCGGUCCUGUGUUUCUCUCGGGACGAACUGGAUAAUGGCCUUAUCUCCCCGCGGGCUUUGUACGUAAAAAGCGUCUCUCCCUUUUCAUUCACACCGGACCACUCAUGUACACACACGCACCGGGGCAGCUUUUAAGAAAUAAUGAUCUCUUAUGGGCUAGUGUCUUACAAGAUUUGUGUCUGAAGGCCCUCAUGCCACACAAUCAGCCUUUGGGCACUUUGUGCCAGCCCGUCCUUGUGAUCAAAGCUCAGGCUCCUGAUGCAAAGCCCAGUCGGACAUCGGUUAUGACAAGGAAGGCGAGGGCGAUGACAAAGAGAAUUAACACACAAGAAGGGUUUCUGAGCCGAUACAGAAGCUCGGUUGCAUUGGAGCAGAAAAACCAACAAUGCUGUUGCUUUUCUGAAAGGCUGCAGACCUAUCGCUCUGUACUAGAGAUUAUUCCUUAUGAAGCUCAUCAGGAUGCGCUUAGAUCAUCAUAAUCUUAGAACUGCAGAGCUGGAAGGGACCCUGUGGAUCAUCGAGUCCUGGCCGUGUCUAGGAGGCCCAGUGAGGAUUCGAACUCCCAACCAGAUGCCAAAACCACUGCGCUAUCCAGCAGUUCUUGGACAGGACCUCGCUGUUAAAACUACUGCUUCACAGGGUAUUCAUUAAUUUAGCACUCUGAGUGUGUCAGAAAGUGCGGGACUGCAGAGUUCCUAUCCUCUAAAUCGGUCCCCAGAAGAAGGGGAAAUCCUGGGAACGCUCACUGUUAGUGAACGUUUGUGGAACUCCCUGCCACAAGACGCAGGAGUGACUCGGAUGCUGUUCAAAUGGGGUGAAUGUCUUCCUGGGCUCAGCAGGCCACUCUGGACAUCCCCAGAAUCAAAGGGGGACACAGGGAGAGGGGCCCUUUGUUGGGCUGUUCAAACUAAACAGCUGGGAACACGCAGGAUCUCGGCCUCGGUCGUCAUCUGUGAAAUGGGAAUAAUGUUGCCCUCGGUAAUUGAACUGCUGCCAUGAUCCUCUGCGGGCAAGAUGUUCUCACAAGUUAGGACGUUUCUUAACAAGACAGUGCAAGGCGAUUGCCCUCACAGAGAUCUUCAGAGUGAACGAAAAAGCGAAAAGGGAUGUUGAACUUACAUGUGAGGUAAACUAGCACUAUAAGAAACAGGAGCAGCUUCGCCCAUGCACGGAAUCUCGCUAGUCCGUCUACAAAGAGAUCUGCCUCAGGCCACGGGUAGCACCAGUCCCUUGUGAAAAGCAGGCGUGCUCUGCCAGCAUCCCCGAGGGACAUCCGGAUGGGAAAAGGCCGUUCCUCAAGUUUGUCAGUGUCAACCCGUCAGUCAAACACCUCUCAGAUCCUUAAUCCACAUGGGCUGGCUCCUUGUACAGGUCAUCCUUCUUGGAAAAGUGAUUUUCAGUUGUGACGUAGAAGGUGGGUCAGAUGGUAGGACCACACCGAGACACACCAAAUGACGAGGCGAUUGCUUGUCCUGCUUAAUUAUUAACAUUACAAAGGAGAUGCUGGCCAGACAGACAGUCUCCAACUUCUCCUUGGUGGCUGCUGGCUUACCCCCCCCCCACAAGCUUAUUGCCUUCCUGUCUUGCAGGAGGAGACAGCUGAGACAGAGGGAAAAGGUAAACAUAUGUAAAUGACAGAUGUCAACAAACUUUCAGUGUGGUGUGGAGAAAGUAAAUUAACCUCCCCCAUCAUCCCAAUACUAGAAUUCAUGUUCCUUAUUUGGAUCCACUCAGAGGUCACUAGAAAUCCAGAGGUGGUACACUACUAAAUAAUUUCAUCUGUUUUCUUAAUAAUAAUCACAGGCCCUCAUGUCAGUUCUGACUUAUGGUAAAUGAGCGUUUUCAAGGUUUGCUAGAUAGAGAGUAAUCAGAAGUGAUUUACCCUUCCCUUCCUCUAGGGGGCAUCCCUGGGAUGGUGCAGCUGGCCCAAGGGCACCCAGGCUGGCUCUUCUUGCAGGAGGCACAGCGGAGAAUCGAACUCUCAAAUCUCUGGCUCUGCAGCCAGAUACAUCAACCACUGUUUCCUUACAGGAGGUUUAAAAGGGAUCGGGUCAAUUCACAGAGGACAUGGCUGUGAAUGGCCAAUACAGUAGUCAAGAUGGCUACACAUGACCUCUAGCAUGAGAAGCAGUAUUUAUUUAUUACUAAUUAAUGGCACCGGUUUGGACACAGUUAAAACCUCAAGAGGUCUUUACCCCAAUGCUCUCUGCACCCUGUUUUUCUCUGCAGCCCAUUAUUUCACAACGGCAUGUCUCGUUUUCAAAUAAAAGUCCACAUCAUGGGUGCA